rnacentral:rRNA from 1 species
GCUAAAAAUCUAGCCCCCCCCAUCCUCCCAAUGACCCCAUUAACUGAAUACAUCAAUUAAAACAUUCUUAUAUCUUAGUAAAGGCGAUCGAAAAAUUUUUAGGAGCUAUAAAAAUAGUACCGCAAGGGAAAGAUGAAAUAAAAAUGAAAUAAAUUUUAAGCACAGCACAGCAGAGAUAAACCCUCGUACCUUUUGCAUCAUGAUUUAACUAGUCAAAUCAAGCAAAACGACUUACAGUUUGACCCCCCGAAACUAAGCGAGCUACUUCAGGGCAGCUUCAUGAGCAAACCCGUCUCUGUUGCAAAAGAGUGGGAAGACCCUCAAGUAGAGGUGAUAAGCCWAACGAGCCUAGUGAUAGCUGGUUACUCAAGAAAAGAAUUUUAGUCCAACCUAAAGAAUAAAGAAUAAUUUCAAAUAAUCCCUUCUUUAGAGCAAUUCAAAUAAGGUACAGCCUAUUUGAACCAGGAUACAACCUAGACCGAAGGGUAAUUAUUUUCUUACAGCAAUUAAGUAGGCUUAAGAGCAGCCAUCUUUAAAAUAGCGUCAAAGCUUUAUUGUUUAAAUAUCCAAUACCAUAAAUAACCUAGAACCCUCCACCCGUAUUGAGUACUUCUAUAUAUUUAUAGAAUAUUUAAUGUUAAAACUAGUAACAAGUAGCAGACCUCCUCUAGAAUGCAAGUGUAAAUCAUAAAGGACACACCAAUGAUCAUUAACAUACAUGAAAACAAAUUAGUAACUCACAAGAAAAACCUACUUUACACUAUGUUAACCUGACACAAGAGCAUUACAAGAAAGAUUGAAAGAAAAAGAAGGAACUCGGCAAAUAAUAAUCCCGCCUGUUUACCAAAAACAUCGCCUCUUGAUAACUAUAAGAGGUCCAGCCUGCCCAGUGACUUUGUUUAACGGCCGCGGUAUCCUAACCGUGCCAAGGUAGCGUAAUCACUUGCUCUUUAAAUUAGGACUAGUAUGAACGGCUUCACGAGGAUUAUACUGUCUCCUUUUUCUAAUCAGUAAACCUAAUCUCCCCGUGAAGAAGCGAGGAUAAAAUUAUAAGACGAGAAGACCCUAUGGAGCUUCAAACUAAGUGACAACCACUCACACAUUUUACAUUUUCAGCAUACCAAUCCUUCUUUGCCCCAUGUUCACUAGUUUUAGGUUGGGGUGACCACGGAGUAAAAAACAAUCUCCACAUUGAACGGACAUUUUUAAACCCUGAGCCACGGACCACAAUCCUAAGCACCAUCAAAUUGACAUUAAUUGACCCAAUACUUUGAUCAACGAACCAAGUUACCCUAGGGAUAACAGCGCAAUCUGCUUAAAGAGCUCCUAUCGACAAGCGGGUUUACGACCUCGAUGUUGGAUCAGGGUAUCCCAGUGGUGCAGCCGCUACUAAAGGUUCGUUUGUUCAACGAUUAAAACCCU